rnacentral:lncRNA from 1 species
AGAAGACAAUAUUUGUAUUAAAACUCACAGCAUAUGUUUUGUCGUAUUUUACACGACUGCUGUAUUAUUAGUUUGUAUUUGAAUUUUAUACCAUGUAUUUGGCGACUCAGGAUGGGUGAUGUAUACCUAUUUUGGGGGCGUCACAGUUGGUAUCAAAGCCUAGGGAUAUGAUCCCUGGCUGAGAUGUGAGAUAAGAACUAGGAGGGGAGAGACGGGGAAUUCCUUCGCUAGUAUGACCUACCUAAGUGUAUUUGGUAUUUAAUUGGUCGGUCAAAGUAUAGGGAAAGUAUGUGAUAUGUUAAGUAACCCUUGUUUUGUGGCAGUGUUUAAAAAUGGCUUCCGAGAAUGUUUAGAACAUGAAUAUCAAUGGAGCACAGGAGACCGUUGAGUCUCCACCGAUCAAUAACUAAGACAAUGUGCAUCAGGAAGGCGACAAUCCUCAUACAAACAACAACACUGACCAAAUGAUGAACGAUGGAAUGUUCCGAGGCUUCAUGCAAUUCAUGCAACAUCAGGCGAGAGCGGCUCCUGUCCAAAAUACAGGUAGAAACACUGAAAACUCUCGGACGGUCAUAGCCAAACAGUUCAAGGAGCUGGGACCACCGGAGUUUUUUGGAGAGCCAAAGCCACUUAAGGCGGAGACAUGGAUAAAGCAGAUCAACAAGAUAUUUGAUGUCUUGGGUUGCUCCGAGGAGCAAAAGGUUCCCUUUGCCACCUUCAUGUUGCGUGCAGAGGCAGAUUACUGGUGGGAAUCUAUAAAACGUACCCAACCUGCCGCACUGAAGAUGACUUAGGAGAAGUUCCAAGAAUUAUUCAAUGACAAAUACUUU